UCCGAAUUACAAGAUUGCCUUGAAUGAUUUGCAUGUAAAUUACCUUUACCCUGCAACUUGUCGCAAUCUUUCUUGAUGUGUCCUUUCUUCUUGCAGUAAUAACAAUACACAUUGUUGUACCUCACCUUCGAUCUAUCCCUUCGUCGAUCACCAUGAGUAACAAGAGCAUCACCACCCCUAGAUGUAGGAUCUCCAACCAACAGCUCCAUCCUCUCCUUUGAGAACAGGGCUUCAUAUACCUCCUCAAUGGUAAGCGUGUCACGACUAUACAGAAUAGUAUCACGAAACGACGAAAAAGAACUAGGUAGCGAACACAAUAGGAUUAAGGCCAGAUCCUCUUCAUCAUAUUUUACCUCCAACGUCUUGGUUUCGUCCGAAUUACAAGAUUGCCUUGAAUGAUUUGCAUGUAAAUUACCUUUACCCUGCAACUUGUCGCAAUCUUUCUUGAAGUGUCAUUUCUUCUUGUAGUAAUAACAAUACACAUUGUUGUACCUCACCUUCGAUCUAUCCCUCCGUCGAUCACCAUGAGUAACAAGAGCAUCACCACCCCUAGAUGUAGGAUCUCCAACCAACAGCUCCAUCCUCUCCUUUGAGAACAGGGCUUCAUAUACCUCCUCAAUGGUAAGCGUGUCACGACUAUACAGAAUAGUAUCACGAAACGACG
rnacentral:lncRNA from 1 species